rnacentral:rRNA from 1 species
GAUGAACGCUGGCGGCGUGCCUAAUACAUGCAAGUCGAGCGAACGGACGAGAAGCUUGCGUCGCUGAUGUUAGCGGCGGACGGGUGAGUAACACGUGGAUAACCUACCUAUAAGACUGGGAUCACUUCGGGAAACCGUAGCUAAUACCGGAUAAUUUUUUGAACCGCAUGGUUCAAAAGUGAAAGACGGUCUUUCUGUCACUUAUAGGUGGAUCCGCGCGGCAUUAGCUAGUUGGUAAGGUAACGGCUUACCAAGGCAACGAUGCAUAGCCGACCUGAGAGGCUGAUCGGCCACCCUGGAACUUAGACACGGUCCAGACGACUGCGGCACGCAGCAGUAGCGAAUCUUCCGCAAUGGUCGAAAGCAUGACGGAGCAACGCCGCGUGAGUGAUGAAGGUCUUCGGAUCGUAAAACUCUGUUAUUAGGGAAGAACAUAUGUGAAAGUAACUGUGCACAUCUUGACGGUACCUAAUCAGAAAGCAACGGCUUACUACGUG